ACUUAUUCCAUCCUUUGGUCGGGUGUAAUGCCAUAUUACUGGCUUAUUACAUUACGCCGCUAUUCCUAAAAUCUGCUGCUUUCUAUUACCGAAGGAAAGCUCAGUUUUGCUUCCGUUUUGGUUCUCCGGAUUUCAUCUGCCCUGUUUUACCCUCCCAACCCUAAAGGCACCUCCACCCUCUCCCUCCCAACAUCAAACAGAACCGCCCCUUACAUUUUCCUUCCUUCUUUUGUUCCUGAAGGUAACUGCAAAAAAAAAUUGGAGGACCAGCCACACAAGUUCAUCGCUUUCGAGCAGGAACUAGGGCUUUAAGAGAUUCGGAAAUACCAGCUUCAUCAGAUAAGUCUCAAGAUUUCCUUGAUCUCUAUCCUUUCUGGAAACUGAAAUGAAGGGUACUGUGUGUUGAUAGCUCUGAUUGGUGGAGGGGGACUGUGAAUCCUUCACCAUGUUGUGUAUUGAAUAUGCUGGCCCCUUUCGGUCUGUUUUUUGUUGGCAACUGGCAAGAUUUGUAACCGUUGAGGGGACUUGUUGGAUUUGACUUUUGUCUUCUAUAACAUGAAAGCAUCACCAUUUCUGGUAUCAAACACAUCAUCCUUCCCUUGAGUUUCUUUUCACUUUUCUACACAAACAGUAACUUGCUCAAAUACUUUGGAGUUAUGGCAAAGACAAGUAAAUGAAAUGGUGGUAGGCCUAGGGUGCAUGGUCUAAUCUUUCCAGCAUUGUCGAUUCUUGACAAAUAGGGCCGAUCCUCCAUCAUCCAUGUUUUUCUUUAUUUCAUUAGUUAUAAUGUCUCAGCCCUUCUUCCCCUUGGGAUUGGCUCCCACCACCCAUAGUAGCCUCCUAUAGCUGUUAGUGUAAGGCUACUCAAUCAUCUUCACACUGAGUUUUGGGGGGUAACUUUAGAGUAUCUCUUUUCAGAACAGACAGCAAAUGAUCCAUCAAUUCUUGACAAAUAGGGCCGAAGGUGGUUAGAUCCUCCAUCAUCCAUGUUUUUCUUUGUUUCAUUAGUUAUAAUGUCUCAGCCCUUCUUCCCCUUGGGAUUGGCCCCCACCACCCAUAGUAGCCUCCUAUAGCUGUUAGUGUACGGCUACUCAAUCAUCUUCACACUGAGUUAUGGGGGGUAACUUUAGAGUAUCUCUUUUCAGAACAGACAGCAAAGGAUCCAAUCGGCUAUCGGUUCAGAGGACCUCUACUCACAACGGUCUCUUUGUUUAAGUGUAAAGUGUUGUCCAAAAUCGACAUGUCAUUGGAAGAGCUUCCAUUGUUCAAAAUUCCAUUGUUCUUGAUUACAUCCUUCCAGCCUCUGAAUGUCUUAAUUUUAUUGAAUCCCUAAAUUUCUUUUGUACAGAUAAGGUAAAAGUAAGAUUACAGAACCAGCAUAUGAUAAAAAUACCUCCAGAUGAAGCACAAGUAGCUAUAAAUCAUUUGUUUGUAUUAAGUGUCCAUGUGUUGUAUGUAUCAAGAUAGGGUAUCAUUUGUUUAUAUUUAAGUGUCCAUUUGUUGCACGUAUCAAGAUAGGGUAUCAAAACCAGCAUAUCGUAAGAUGUACAAUGAUCCACUUAAAUCCUGUGAGUUGUACAUGUUGCUUUUGUUGAAGAGCCAAACAUUUUUCAUUUUUUAUGCUGUCAUAUUGCCAUGUAUUCACAUACAAGCCUUCUAUAUUCUUCUUAAUUCAGGGGCUAUGCAUUUAAGCAAUUAAUUGAACUUAAUUUUUAUUAAGUAAUGGUACCUGUAACUAGUAAUACCCAUAGUUCUAAAGAUGUCUGAAUUUGAUCACAAGGUAUGGGUGCUUUCUUAUUCUACUUUUAUGCCUCCAGCUUUAACUAGUAAAGCACAUGAAGCUUGUAGGUGAGUUAAAUUUGUUUUAGUAAAUAAAUCUAUCUCAAAUUGCUAAAAUUUGAGCAAAUGGAGGAGACACCUAUUCAUAUUCACAUUUAGCAAAGAUCCAAUGUUGGUGAUGGUUCUGCUUCCCAUUCUAAUCUUUCUUUUCUGAUAGAGCCUAUACUGUUAGAAACUUUAUUAUUACAGAGAGGAAAGUCCUUGUUAAGUAUUUUGAAUUCUCAAGAGUGAAGAUGGUUUAUUUAGUGAACUGUGGAGAUUAAUAAGAAUUUUCAUUUGGUGGAUAGGCUAUUCUAAAUGUGAAUUUAUAAACAGAUGGGACUGCUUCUGUUAUAUUAGGCCAUUAGACAAACCUAAGAUACUGCCACAUCUUUUGUUUUCAAAAAGAUGUAACCAGGUUAGUCUAGAGUUAUUCCUGAUAGUAUGAAGGUGGCUUUCUUUAACUAGGACUGUAUUUCGCCUGCUCCCUCAUAAUAUAUCUUUUCUCUAUCUUGUAUGAUUUUCUAAAUUCGGACCAAUGUCUAUAUGCAGGCAUUACUUGAGGAGAGGAUCACUACUCAGGCAUUAGCUGGUAAACGUCUAGUUCAGAUGUCAAGGGAAAUGAAUGAAAGUCAUGGUAGCCCUAUUAAUGAUGUACAAAGCUAGCUCCUCAUUUUCAAGAAGUCACACAUGAUGGAACAUAUCCUAAAGUUGCUGCUGUAAGCUCCAAAGGGACCAAAGCUAGAGCAAAAUGAAGGCGAACUACUGGGAGAUUGAAGUUCUUUAUGUUGCAUGGAUUCGCCAUCGAGUCCUUCUGCUGCUCACUCAGCUGCUCCAACGGUGGUGUCGACACUUGCGAAUAGUAUUCUUGAUAGCAAGUUUUUCUCUACCAAGAAAAUGAUGAUGGGGUGCUGCAAGAAAAUGCUGAAUUCGUUAAGUUCGAGCAACAAGAUAGUGCUCUUGCUUCAUGGCUUUUAUCGUCGGUAAGCCCUGAUGUUCUUCCUCAUCUCAUUGGACUUGUUACUAGUUCUCAGAUUUGGAAUUCUAUUGUAAACUUGUAUGGUAGCAGAACUACGUCUCGACUAAUGUUUUAUCGUCGAGCAUUACAUUCACAACGCAAAGGUGAUAUGUUUAUGAAAGAAUUUUUGCUAAAAAUUAAGUCCUAUUGUGAUAACCUUGCUAGCUGUGGAGAGGCCAUUAGUGCCCAUAAACAUAUCACUGCUAUUCUCAAUGGACUAUCGUUCGAGUAUGAACCCAUUGUUUCAAUCAUUCUUGCUGGUCAACAUGCUUACACCGUUUAGGGUGUCACAACGAUGCUACUGGAUGCAGAAGCUAGACAACAGGUUAUAUUGGCCGAAACUCCUAGUUCUGCCAACCUGGUUUCGCAACAACCUGCACAACCCAGCACUGAUACUUCCGUGCCAACGUAUCGUGCGUCAAACUCUAGGGGUCGUGGGCGUGGACGAUCAUCUGGGGCUCGUAUUGAAUGCCAUCUGUGUGGAAAAACUGGACACUUGGUUGAUCGAUGCUAUCAUCGAUUUGACGCGUCUUACAAAAGCAACAACUAUAGACCCCCUCCGUAAGCAAAUGUCUGCAUGCUUACACCUGGCUCUUCUCCAUGGACACCGCCCUCUAUGUCAGCCAUGUCACUAGUGACUCAACCUUCCCCCAACUGGUCUCUUCUGUCACAACCUAUGAAUCCCUGGACUAGUUCAUACAUGAGUCAUCCUACACAACACGUGGUUCCAUCUGCAUCUGCUGUUUCUUCUCCACAGGCGUUAAUUGCUACACUCGACAUUGUAGGGGAUCCUGCUUGGUAUCCUGACUCUGGGGCCACACACCACCUCACUCACUCAGCAGCCUCUCUUGGAGAAAAUCCCUCGCACAAUGGACCAGGUAUGGUGUAUGUUGGAAAUGGUAGUUCUCUUCCUGUUAUUUGCUCUAGUCAGUCCUCCUUUAUCACUAAGGCACGACCACUUCACAUGAAGUCAAUUUUAUAUACCCCUGGUGUUACUAAAAAUUUACUGUCUGUAUCUAAAGGUGAGUUUGGAUGGGCAAUUGGGUGCGGUGCGGUGCGUUUAACUUACUUUUUGUCUCACGCUACAGUAUCGCUACAGUAUCUAAUCUCACUGCCACCGCUGUUUUUACACUAACCGCAGGUAAAUGCACCUCCCAUCCAAACUCACCCUAAGUUCACCAGAGACAACCAAGUGAUGUUUGAGUUCCUACCGUCACAAUGUCAGGUACGUGAUCUCAGGACCAGGGAGAUACUUCUAUGAGGAUCAGUUCAACAUGGUCUCUACAAGUUUCAUUUGAAUGAUGGCUUCAGAAAGUUUCAAACAAUGCCCACAGCACACUGUUUUACAGCAAAAAGUGUUACUCCUCUGAGCGUGUGGCACUCUAGACUAGGACAUCCUUAUAAAAAUGUGUUGCUCAAGGCUUUACAGCAUUGUAACUUGUCAUUUGAUGUGAAUAAAGAUGAGUUUUUCUGUGUUGCAUGUCACCUAGGCAAGGAGCACAAACAAUCGUUCUCUCCAUCGAUAUCUCAGUAUUCUGUUCCGUUACAAUUGGUUGUUGCUGAUGUUUGGGGGCCAGCCCCAGUUAUCUCAAAUGGUUUUUGUUAUUAUGUAAUUUUUACUGAUGCCUGCACCAGAUAUUCGUGGGUUUAUUUUUUGCACAAGAAGUCUGAAGUUUGACAGUUUUCCUUCAGUUUCACAGACAAGUAGAGCGCACCUUUGGAGUUCAACUACAAACAUUGCAAACGGAUGGGGGGUGAAUUUCAGUCUCUCAGGCUGUAUCUUGUUCAACAUGGCAUUGUUCACCGGUUCACCUGUCCCUACACUUAAGCUCAAAACGGAAUUAUCGAACACAAGCAUCGACAAAUGGUUGAAACAGGUCUUGUUAUGCUUGCGCAUGCUUUCAUGCCAAUGUCUUACUGGAGUGAUGCCUUUAGCUGCGCCAUUUACCUCAUUAACAGACUCUCCUCUGCUCCCCUACAUUUUAUCUCUCCUUUUGAAAAACUUCAUCGAGCCAAGCCUAAUUAUAGCUUUCUCAAAACCUUUGGGUGCCUGUGUUUCCCUAAUCUAAGGUCGUACAACCCUCACAAAAUCCAGUUUCGCUCCACUCCUUGUACCUUCAUCGAUUACUCUCUCAUUCACAAAGGAUAUCGGUGUCGAGAUGGCACUGGCCGAAUAUACAUCACCCGCCAUGUCACCUUUCAUGAAAACAACUUUCCAUUUAAGACUAUCGCCACUCACUCUCCUCCAACCAACAACCGUCAGUCAACUAGCUCCAAAUUGCUCAUUCUAAAUUCCAGCCCGUGCUCUCCCAAUAAUUACUCACCCACCACUCAAGGUAACACUCCUUUUACAUCACCCGCUAUGUCCACUUUGCCCAUUUCAACUCCUUUUGUCCAACUCAACAUGCAGUCCACAUCUCCUGUCCUCACUAACCCUCUACCCUCACCAAGUGUCUCCACAAGUCCCUUACCUCCAUGCCCAAUACCACAAAACUCCCAUCCAAUACCCGCAGCAAAGCUGACAUAUUCAAGCCAAAAGCCUACUUAAGCUGUAUGAGUGAGGCACCUGAUACACCAACUAGUAUUCAUGCAGCUAUGACACACUCUUGUUGGCGUGAUGCGGUUCAUGCUGAGCUAGAAGCUCUUGUCCGCAACAACACCUGGAGUCUAUGUCUGUUACCGUUACAUCGUCGCACCGUUGGAUGUAAGUGGUUAAUUAAAAUCAAGAAAAAGGCUGAUGGUACUGUUGAUCACUAUAAAGCUCGUUUGGUAGCCAAUAGCUACUCUCAGCAUGCAGGGACUGACUUCCGAGACAUGUUUAGCCCAGUGGUUCGGGCAGUCACCAUGAGAACAGUUCUCGCUGUUGUCGUAAUGAAGGGAUGGCCUCUUAGGCAAGUCGAUGUGAACAACGCCUUCUUAAACGGUGAACUAUCUGAGGACAUAUUCAUGGACCAGCCACCUGGUUUUGAAGUGUCAGAACCCAAAAACCAGCGGUUAGUAUGCAAACUGAACAAAGCCUUAUAUGGGCUGCGGCAAGCUGCAAGGGCAUGAUUUUACACGCUUAAACAAUUUUUGGUCAGCCAAUUAGGUUUUCAUGCGUCUAAAGCUGACCCGUCCCUGUUCAUUCGAGUUACUGGUAAUAGCCAAAUACUACUCAUGGCUUACGUUGAUGAUAUAGUUCUCAAAGGCAGUUCGAGUGCAGAUAUUGACAGUGUGAUAAGUCAACUUCACAAUUGAUUUGCCCUCAAAGACUUGGGAUCUCUCAAUUUUUUUCUCAGCAUUGAUGUAUAGUACACCAAUCACAGCUUGUUCCUCAGUCAGAAGAAGUAUGUGCAAGAGAUCCUAUCGAAGACAGGUAUAACAGGUGCAGCUCCCACUCCAACACCUAUGGUUAGUCUCCCUAAGCUUACUGUCACUUCCGAUAGUCAAAAGCCUAUUGAUGGUCCGCUUUAUCGCAGCACUAUUGGGAUGCUUCAAUAUCUCUGCAUUACACGGCCUGAUCUCUCUUACUGUGUUGACAAACUCAGCCAUUAUAUGAACUCUCCUAGUGAAUCUCACUGGAAGGUAGCUAAACGAGUGCUACGCUAUCUGGUGGGCACUAUGGAACAUGGGUUAGUUUUUACACAGGGACAAUUUCGGUUGACUUGCUACUCUGAUGCUGACUGGGCAUCUUCAGUUGAAGACAAACGCUCCACUACAGGCUACGUGGUGUACUUGAGGCCUAACCCGAUAGCCUAGUGCUCAAAGAAGCAGGCCGUUGUCUCCAGGUCGUCCUCUGAAGCUGAGUAUCGUAGCUUGACCAAUUGCGUCUCUGAGCUGGUGUGGGUUCAACAACUGUUAAAGGAAAUAGGGGUGUCUGUUGAACAAACGCCAGUGGUCUGGUGUGAUAACACCUCCACUGUUUCUAUGGCAGCAAAUCCAACUCAUCACGCACGAGUCAAGCAUGUUGAGAUCGACCACCACUUUGUUCGAGAGAAUGUUCUUGAUGGUCUGCUACAAGUCAACUAUGUGCCAUCAGUCAACUAAAUUGCUGAUGUUCUUACAAAACCAGUUCCCCCCAAACACUUUUCUGAUUUUCGGCAAGCUCUUCGAGUCACAACAAACAACUCAAUUUCAAAAGAUUUUGACAACCAGGAGAAUGUUAGAAUAUAUCAAAUAUAGUCAGUUGACAAUUAAGAUAGUAGUUAGUUUGUUAGUAGUUAUUCUGGUAAAGAAACUAACAGCUCCUCAGCUACUGCUAUAAAUGAUGUAUCGAGCCAUUAUGAUUGUUGAAUGAAAAAGUAUAUGCAUUUCAAGUAUUAAACCUUCUUAGGUUAUACUUUAACA